rnacentral:rRNA from 1 species
CCAGCAGCUGCGGUAAUACAGAGGUCUCAAGCGUUGUUCGGAAUCACUGGGCGUAAAGGGUGCGUAGGCUGCGCCGUAAGUCAGAUGUGAAAGCUCAGGACUCAACCCUGAAAUUGCAUCCGAUACUGCGGUGCUAGGGAAAUGAAGGGGAGUCUAGAAUUUUCGGUGUAGCAGUGAAAUGCGUAGAUAUCGAAAGGAAUACCAAAGGCGAAGGCAGGACUCUGGGCAUUUUCUGACGCUCAUGCACGAAGGCUAGGGUAGCGAACGGGAUUAGAUACCCCGGUAGUCCUAGCAGUAAACGGUGCACGUUUGGUGUGGGCGCAUUCGACCGCGUCCGCGCCGGAGCUAACGCGUUAAACGUGCCGCCUGGGAAGUACGGUCGCAAGAUUAAAACUCAAAGAAAUUGACGGGGACCCGCACAAGCGGUGGAGUAUGUGGCUUAAUUCGAUGCAACGCGAAGAACCUUACCUGGUCUUGACAUGCACUGUGUCUCCGAUGAAAGUCGGAUAGUGUAGCAAUACACG